rnacentral:rRNA from 1 species
AACGCGAAGAACCUUACCUGGGCUUGACAUGCUUUUGACAGCUGUAGAAAUAUAGUCUUCUUGGUUUCGGCUAAGACAAUUGCACAGGUGCUGCAUGGCUGUCGUCAGCUCGUGUCGUGAGAUGUUAGGUUAAGUCCUCUAACGAGCGCAACCCUUGCUAUCAGUUGCUAUUUGCUUUCGGGCAAAGCACUCUGAUGGGACUGCCUGGGAAACCAGGAGGAAGGUGGGGACGACGUCAAGUCAUCAUGGUCCUUAUGCCCAGGGCUACACACGUGUUACAAUGGCUGAUACAAAGGGUCGCGAGCUCGUAAGGGUGAGCCAAUCCCUCAAAAUCAGUCUAAGUUCGGAUUGAGGUCUGCAAUUCGACCUCAUGAAGUUGAAAUCGCUAGUAAUCGCGUAUCAGUAACGGCGCGGUGAAUACGUUCCCGGGCCUUGUACACACCGCGUGUCU